GGUGGCUCAAUGGUAGAGUGCUUGCAUUGCAUGCAUGAAGCCCUGGGUUCGAUUCCUCAGCACCA
rnacentral:tRNA from 1 species